UCUUUCUUUAUGAAUUUUGAGAAUCUAUGGAUAAAAGAAAUACGAUAAAAACCAAUAUGAAUAUUAUAAAGACAAUAAAAAAAAUUGUUACGUUUCCACCUCAAAGUGAAAUAUAGUAUUUAAUUCGUUCUUUCAUUUAAUGCCUAUUGGUGUUCCAAGAGUUGUAUUCCGAAAUCCUGGAGAUCCAAUUUCAUCUUGGGUUGACAUAUAGUGCGACUUGUCAGAUAUAUUGGGUCAUAUGGUAUUUCCCCGUUCUCUCCCCCGAUCGAGAUAUCCCCCGUUUCGCCCAAGAAAGAUAAAUUGAAUCAUCAAAAAUUUGGAGCGUGAAGUGCAAUUAGAUCCAUUUUUGAGGGGAUUCAUAUUACUAUUAUCAAUUAGAAUAAUUUAUGGUUGGCUUGGUUGGACUAAAUAAAUGAAGUAUCCAGGCUCCGUUUAGAAAAAACCCAAUUGGAUUGGUAAGAUAUCUAUGUAAGAUAUCUAUGAUUGCUAUUCAUAUUUUUUCUUUGUAAAGAGAUCCUAAUUGUCAAGCAAAGUUAUCUCAACUCUAAUAAAUACUUGUAUAAAAUGAAUUGAAAAAAAAAAAAAAAAAUACAAAAAGAAAUGGUAAUGGGAGCAUUUGUCCUAUAUGUACAAAUCCAAAUCGGGCGGAUCUUUACCCGGAGUAGAGCAUAAACCUAAAAAGAUGAAACAGACCCAUUCAGGAACAAGAAAAUACCAUCGCGGUUUGGAUUAAAUCUCGAUGAAAGAAUACAUCAAUGAGAAGUUAAUUCGAUAAGUUUAAUGACCCUUUCUUAUAACUUCGAAUUUUAUAAUAGAAAAUAUCAAAAAGGAGUAAAAACUCGUCUUUAUUGAAAAAUCGAAGAAAAGCCCUUUCGUUAGAAGUAAGAAAGAACCCUUGUAGAAAAAAAGAAAGAGGACUGGAAUCUCUACAUUGAUUCACAAUUUUUUUGAACCGUAUGCAUCAAAAGGCGCAUGUACGGUUCCUAAGGGAUACAAUUUUACCCUAAUCAACCGACUUUAUCGAGAAAGAUUACUUUUUUUAGGCCAAGGGAUUGGUACCGAGCUUUCGAAUCAACUUAUUGGUCUUAUGUUGUAUCUCAGUAUGGAGGAUGAGAACAAAGACCUGUAUUUGUUUGUAAACUCUCCUGGGGGCUGGGUAAUACCUGGGAUCGCCAUUUAUGAUACUAUGCAAUUUGUGCGACCAGAUAUCCAUACAAUAUGCCUAGGAUUAGCUGCUUCAAUGGGAUCUUUUAUCCUGGCCGGAGGACAACUUACCAAACGUAUAGCAUUCCCUCACGCUUGGCGCCAAUGAGGUUUUUAUUUGAGAGAAAAAAGAAGACUAUGCCUUCGCCAUAUGAAUACUAAGUAAUAAUAGCAUGGCACUUCGAAUUCGAUAUGAGAAAUUUUUGUAUUGUUUUUUUUUUUCAAAACAUUAGAUUCUGUAUCGAGAGAGUAGUAUGAGAUAAGGGGUAUUUCCGAUUUUCUAUUAUAUAUCGGGAGUUCAGUUCAGCGUCACAAACUUUUUGUUUUCAUGCCGGAGAGUUCUUAACAAUAUUUAUGUUAUGAAAGAGUACGAAAAAAAAAUAAUUUUUCCUUAUUUGAUCGGAUUAAAAAGAAACUUUGGGAUUGCUGAAUCACAGACAAAAAAAAGAAAAAAUAAACAUAUAAAGCAACGGAGCCAUCAUAGUAUUUUUGAAUUCCUCCGAAAGGAAGGAUGGCAAUUUGAUUAUUUACCCAUCUGAGUCUGAUAGAUUCUAUUUUUCUCUUUCUUCAAUGGGGGUCAAUUUUCUUGUAGAGCCGUAUGCACAAAAGAUGCCUGUACGGUUGUUCAAUUCUAUCUUUUUUCUAUUCUUUAUCUUUCUUUUUUCUUUGCUUUAUCAUGCGAGAUAGGGGAAGCUUUUAUUUUGUUAUAUCAUCAGGGUAAUGAUACAUGAACCUUAUAGUGGUUUUUAUAUGGCACAAGUAGGCGAAUUUGUCCUGGAAGCGAUAGAAAUGGCGAAACUGCGUGAAACCCUCACAAGGGUUUAUGCAGAAAAAACGGGCCAACCCGUGUGGGUUAUACACGAAGAUAUGGAAAGAGAUAUUUUUAUGUCAGCAACAGAAGCCCAAGCUUAUGGAAUUGUUGAUUUUGUAGCGGUUCAAGGAAAAGAACAUGGAUUUCACGCAGAUCUAUGAUUUGAGAUUUUAUCUUCGAAUUGAAUAUUCUAUUAAAUAGAAGUAAUUCACCAUCAUUCGGUUAGGAUCAAUCUAAACCAACCCAUCAUAUUAUGUAUACGAUUCAACAUGCCAACUAUUAAACAACUUAUUAGAAAUACAAGACAGCCAAUCAGAAAUGUCACGAAAUCCCCCGCUCUUCGGGGGUGCCCUCAGCGUCGAGGAACAUGUACUAGGGUGUAUGUGCGACUCGUUUAGAUCAUGAGCUGGCACAAAAAGCAAGAAAACUACUUUUACAGUAUCAAUGAUCAGUACCGGUGAAUGGGAUAGGAUGGAAAAAGGAACU
rnacentral:lncRNA from 1 species